rnacentral:lncRNA from 1 species
UACAUGGAAAGAUUAAGCCCUUUGUCAGAGAACAAGGACCUUCCCUUGGGCAUGCCAACUUCUGAUCCAUGUUUGUCCAGCUCCACCGACAGAACUGGUACCCAAGGAGGCCAAGUUGCUCUCUUUGGCAUCACUGACAUUGCUCUGAGAUGCUCAGGCACUCUCAAAAUGACCCUUUCCCAGCCAGGCCAGGCUGAUCCUGCCACCAUCAAUUCACACCUGAUUGGAUGGGGCGCCCCUGCUCUCUGAUGGUGGCUGAUCUCCCCAGCCUCUUUGGACCUGGGCUAGAAGCAGACUGGAGGGAGAAGGCAGGGAAGUAGUCUACUUUUCCAGCUCCUCUCUGAUCAUCCGGCGGAAGACGAUGCAGGAGAGGUGGUGUAUUCAAAAGAAUGUCUUUAUGUGUCAGGACAGUGGAGACAACUGAGGAGCAGGAGAGGAGGAGGACAGCAGCCUCGGUCAAAGGCAGCGGCUUCUUAAAGAGUUUGCACAGUGCUGGACGCAAUCAGAGAAACACAGAAGAGCAGCCUUGCUGGGGUGCCACUGCUUCCUAGGCCAAGGGUGAUGGAGAACAUGAGGUAUCAGGAGCUCUGGGUCCCCAGGGGAAGCAGAACCUGUGGUGUGAGGCCCCUGGGUAUGACAGGGCUCCUGGGAACACAGUUAAGGAUUGUGCUACAUUUCAUUUCCAAAGAAAUGCCCCAGGAGGGCUCAAUUGUCUUAAAAACAAAACAAAACUGAGGCUGCUGGUUUUCCCCAGGCUGGCAGUAAAGGAAGAGCUGGCAUGCUUCCCUGGUUGGGGAGUGGGGGUCAAGCCCCUAGGAGAGUUAGCUUGACCCCAGUGUGGCACCACCCAGACACCACCACCCCUGCCUUUCUAGAGCUUUCCUUGGUUCUGCCUCUACUCCGUGGCACACUGGCAUUGCCAGGACCCGCUGAAUAGGUGCUCCUCAGCAGAGCUGGGUGGGAGGAGAGACUGGAUGAGAGUGCCUUAGGAACUGGUUCUUCCCCAAAGGACCAAAUGUCCCCUUGUCAAACCAAGACCUGGCCCAUUUCCUGGAGAAUGUUUCCUAACACAGAGUCCCAUCUCUGACUUCCUUGUAGGGAAGGAAUCUGAAAAAGUGGGGCAGGCUGAGCAGGGCAGAAAUACAGAGACACAUGCUCUGAGUCACUCAUCACUGCCCACAGCCCAGCAUCGCUGCAGGGCUACUCCUGCCUCAGCCAUAGCGCCGAUGAAUCUGGCCUG